rnacentral:rRNA from 1 species
UACGUAGGGGGCAAGCGUUGUCCGGAUUUAUUGGGCGUAAAGCGCUCGCAGGUGGUUCGUCGCGUCGUGCGUGAAAGACCCCGGCUCAACUGGGGAGGGUCGUGCGAUACGGGCGGACUGGAGGCCAGUAGGGGGAUGCGGAAUUCCUGGUGUAGCGGUGAAAUGCGCAGAUAUCAGGAGGAACACCGGUGGCGAAGGCGGAUCUCUGGGCCGAUACUGACGCUGAGGAGCGAAAGCGUGGGGAGCGAACAGG